AUUGAACGCUGGCGGCAUGCCUUACACAUGCAAGUCGAACGGUAACGCGGGGCAACCUGGCGACGAGUGGCGAACGGGUGAGUAAUGCAUCGGAACGUGCCCAGUAGUGGGGGAUAGCCCGGCGAAAGCCGGAUUAAUACCGCAUACGACCUAAGGGUGAAAGCGGGGGAUCGCAAGACCUUGCGCUAUUGUAACGGCCGAUGUCCGAUUAGGUCGUUGGUGGGGUAAAGGCCUACCAAGCCUACGAUCUGGAGCUGGUCGGAGAGGGCGAACAGCCACACUGGGACUGAGACACGGCCCAGACUCCUACGGGAGGCAGCAGUGGGGAAUUUUGGACAAUGGGCGCAAGCCUGAUCCAGCCAUGCCGCGUGCGGGAAGAAGGCCUUCGGGUUGUAACCGCUUUUGUCAGGGAAGAAACGCUCCGGGCUAAUACCCUGGGGUAAUGACGGUACCUGAAGAAUAAGCACCGGCUAACUACGUGCCAGCAGCCGCGGUAACAC
rnacentral:rRNA from 1 species